rnacentral:lncRNA from 1 species
CCGUGACACCAGUUGCCGGCAGCAUCUCGCAGCAUGCUGGAUCCCACAUCCCUUCGGAGUUAAGGGGCGGAGGGGUUCAAGCGAGGCCAUCCUUGAGCUUGUUCCUUGCUGUGCCAUUGAGGCACUGGAGGAGCCAUGGCUGGCUGUGCUGGACGCUUUGCCAUUUAAACCUCCGUAGCCUCGAAUGCCGCAGCAGGGCCAAAUGCCGAUGCAGAGCCAGACCUGCAGAACGGUGCAUGGGAGAAU